rnacentral:sRNA from 1 species
GCCAGGUGCCAUGGUCCAUGCCUAUGGUCCCAGCUACUCAGGAGGCUGAGGCAGGAGGCUCACUUGAGCCCAGGAAUUCAGGGCCAGCUUGGACAACAUAGUAAGACCUGGUCUAAA